UCCCAAGCCUUCUGGCGAUCUCUUAAAAUAAAGCCUCACGUCAUAAUCCCUCCAGGUUUUUCAAAAAAACAUGCGUUUCAAGGUGCCAUGGAUUUUAAAGACCGUGGAUUUACUCAGAACUUAUGGGUUUUAAAAAAGGCUUUAAAAGGAAAUAACUAAAAAAGCUUUUCCUGUGAUUUAAGAUGAUACCGGGGAAGGUUUUCCGGUUUAUCCCGGAGGGCUUGUAGCUCAGUUGGUUAGAGCGCGCGCUUGAUAAGCGUGAGGUCGGAGGUUCAAGUCCUCCCAGGCCCACCAAUUUAUGCUCGUUUUUUGCUUAUCCAAGAGUAUGAAGCUUAAGCGUAUUAAAGCCUCUUCAAUCUUUGUUUAUUUUUAAAGAUUUAAUUUUAUUAUUCAGAGAUUGUUUGUUAAAUUUAUCCCAUUAAGCUUCCAAAGAGGCUUUGUCCCUUCAGUGGUACAGAUAAAUUUACAUGAUACAAAUCAAAACAGGACAGGUAAUUCAAGUUGAUGAAUUUGGUUAUGGUUGAUUUGAGAGAGCAUUAUUUAGGGGCCGUAGCUCAGCUGGGAGAGCACCUGCUUUGCAAGCAGG
rnacentral:misc_RNA from 1 species